rnacentral:tRNA from 1 species
GGGCAUGUAGCUCAAUGGUAGAGCACCUGUCUAGUACACACAAAGCCCUGGGUUCCAUCCCCAGCACCA